AUUGGUAUUCUAUAUCUUGUUUUCAAAGAUUAACCCAUCCAGUUUUAAGAAUAACCAUUUAUACCGUGAAACUGCGAAUGGCUCAUUAAAUCAGUUAUAGUUUAUUUGAUAGUACCUUUACCUGGAUAACCGUGGUAAUUCUAGAGCUAAUACAUGCCAAAAACCCCGACUCCGGAAGGGGUGUAUUUAUUAGAUAAAAAACCAAUGCCCUCCGGGGCUCCUUGGUGAUUCAUAAUAACUUAACGAAUCGCAUGGCCUUGCGCCGGCGAUGGUUCAUUCAAAUUCUGCCCUAUCACUUCGAUGUAGAUCGCAGUU
rnacentral:rRNA from 1 species